rnacentral:lncRNA from 1 species
UAUCUUUCCACUUUCCCCCUACUCCUGAAUGUCUAAAGAACUCUCAAUGCAUAUUAGCCAUCACCAUGGUUGAGACCCAGACCUCUGCAGAGACAAUCUUGAUCCUCUGGCUCCUGCUUCACAUUGCCCAUUCACCCUCAGCACUGAAAUCCUUACCUCAAGCGCUGGGAAUUCAGGCCAUGGAAGAUUAGGAGGCUCACAGCAGGUUGCUUUGCCCUUUUUUUCCCUAUUCCUUUUUGCAUUUUCUUCUGGGUCUCUCAAAGGCCAUCUAAUUCUUCUCUGUCAUAUGCAUAGAUUUUGGGAACUACUUUGUUUCCUAAGCAUGCCCCUGAGAGGACUCACCCCUUACCCCCAGCAGCUUAUCAAAGUAUUUUUGUAUUUCUGUCAAACUAGUGGAAUGCUGCUCCAAGAAGAAUUCUGAUUACAUUUUUCCAUGUCGUUGUUAUGGAAGCUGUAUCUAUAUAAAGUGGGAAGAUGCCAAUAAGGGUCCUUGCUCCUUGAGUUGAUCAGUCAGAUUUUACUGUAAGAAGGAAGAAAACAAGGAUCCUGCUAGAACAACAUGGAAACAGGCUGAUCUUAGGACCUACAACAAAGAGAUUUCUCACUGGCUUCCUGGUGGUUCAUUCAAUAGGGAAUUCCUGCAGCAAGUUGGAGGGAGGGAGGAGAAGCAGGGAGGCCACCUCCUGUCAAAGCUGGGACAUCUGAGAGACAGUGGUCACACAACAACUCAACUGCAUGUGCACCUAAAACACACUGAUUCCAUGAACAGAGAUUCAUGCCACUGUGUAGUCUGCAACAAAACAUUGAAGAUGGUUUCCAAUAUCCAGAUGGACAGGCUGACCAUGAGUGCAAAUCUUCUUGUCCUUAGGAAAAAAAACUUCAAAGGGUAGACAACAGCCAAAUACCGAUCAACGGCAAUGCAGGAAAGACACACACAGAGAUCCAAUAUUGGCUGGAAUGCUGACUAUAAUCACAAAGAUGUAAACAAUGGGAAACAAAUAGUGAUCCAGGUCAUGCUGUUCUUCAAUACAUGUGCUGUUCAUUUUUUCCUUUUUAAGGUAGCAAUUAUAUUAGUUCUUAGAAAGUAAACAGAGAA